rnacentral:lncRNA from 1 species
GUCUCAUUUAAAAUCAUAACAAAACUUCUUACCCCUCUUUUUCCAGGAAUAUUUUGAUCAUCUUUAUUAAGAUGAUUCUCCUUAACUGAUGAUCUGACCCUCCUUCCCCCCUCUUUUUCCUGGAAUAUUUUGAUCAUCUUUAUCUAGGUGAUUCUCCUUAACUGAUGAUCUGACCCUCCUCCCCCUCUUUUUCCAGGAAUAUUUCGAUCAUCUUUAUCUAGAUGAUUCUCCUUAACUGAUGAUCUGACCCUCCUCCCCUUCUUUUUCCUAGAAUAUUUUGAUCAUCUUUAUCUAGAUGAUUCUCCUUCACUGAUGAUCUGACCCUCCUCCCCCUCUUUUUCCUGGAAUAUUUUGAUCAUCU